GAGCUACAUCACUUGACAGUAUCAUGUUGUCAACAUCCAGUUUGGUAGAUUGUCCCACUUGACAGAAUAAGAUAGUUCUUGUAUUUAAUUUGGAGAUUAAAAAAAAUGAAUACAAACAGCAUGGUCUGAGAAGGAUGAUGAAAUUUCUCCAGGUAGUUUCCUAACUUCCUGAAUCAACCACAUUUUAUUGAAGAGGAGGAGUGUGUGUUCGUUCGCGCCAGAUGAGAAUGUUACUGACUCAUUCAUUAGUGUGUGCGGUGUUUUCGCGUGGUAAAAGUUUUACCGUGUGAAACUAAUUAUUUUACAGUAAAACAGCGUAUUCAGAGAAGAACCGUUGAAAUCAACCACGGGCAGCGUAAACGGUGAACACGUGCACAGCAAUUUUGGUGGGUUAAUUUUCCUGAAACUCACAUGCAUGUGCCCCAGGAUGAGGGAUAAGAGUGUGUGAAUCCUUGGUGACAACGUACAAUGUUUAGUGGUUUUGCAGUAAUGUUGAAAUGGAGAUGUUAGCUAUACACUGCCAUGCUAGGCUAGCGGACCUGUUGCUAAUGGGUAACAUACACAGUACAAUAGAAAUGCUAAUGAGACACGCGAAAGGGGUUGUUUUGUUUUGUUGACCUACCUGAAGAUGCAUACAGUGUCAAUGCAUAUAGCUCACGUUCUGUUAAGCAGUUUUCCUGUGUAUGUGUGUUUGUUAUUGACUUUAGAAGAGACGUACUGUAAAUACAGUAAUUCGUGAAUGUGAGACAAAGGAGUAGGAGUAAUAUGAGAGGUAAAUUUAAUAGUUACUCACUGUAAGGUUGUGUAUUAUGGUUUGAUAUGCAAUGUGAGGAAAGUGUCGAACUAUGGGAAAUGAUAGUUACAAUAACCAAAUAAGAAUAAAUUAUGGUUGUUUUACUGGUAAAUAUGUAAUUCAAGUGCAACUGAAGAACAAGGCAACUUAUGGUCCUAGUGUUUAUUUCACAGUGCUUCAAUUGCAAUGUAUUUACAUAUGCUAUGGUUACUUGUGUAUUUUCUGUAGAUCUGGUGAUAUCUCUUAUACUUAAAGAUACUGUAACUUACCUGAUGCUACAACGAGCAAUUUGAUUGAUCGGGAAGUCAUUGGUUUAGUAUUUCCUAUGUUGAGGGCAGAAUAAAUUCUGCAUUCGAGCUGAACGCAAGCUAAAGUUUUCUGCCUCUUUGUUUCUACAUACAGUUACAGGGUUUAGGAACAUACCCCUCCCUGACACCCACCGGGGGGGGCGGGCAACAUGGAGUUAGUUUUAACUACUUUAUAAAUAGCACAGUUAGGUAUUUUAGGGCUCCGGCCUCUAUAGGUUUACAAGAUACAGUAAAUCUGAGCAGCUGUGAGAUGAUUAAUAAGGGAGGAAAGAAGAAAAAACAAGGUUCUGUAACAGUCAUACAUUUUUUUUUGGCACUUUUCUCGAAUCUUUUUGUUUUUGUGAAAUAUUGGAUAGUUUUACCUUUUUGAGUCUCAAAUGGUUAUUUAAAUACAACCAUGUGAGAAGUUUAGAGGGGAAAUGUCUCUUUGGUGGAACUGCUAACAAACUCAUAGACAUCUGAAAUGUGACAAGAGCCCCAUCUACAAAAUGCUUUUUUGUAACGUCACACUCACCAAAAAGGUUGGUGAGCCUUUGGUUUAAUCUUUAACAAUGCAUUGCACUUUAUAAGCUUAUAUGUUUAAAAAAAAAUGUAAAAUCUUAAAAGUAACUAGUAACUACAGCUGUAAAAUAAAUGUAGUGGAGUAAAAAGUAGAAUAUUUCAUCCCAAAAUGUAGUUAUGUAGACGUAUAAAGCAGCAUAAUAUGUAAAAACUUGAGUAAAGUACCUAAAAAUUGUACUUAAUUGCAGUAGUUGAGUAAAUGUAUUUAGCACACAGCAGACUAUACAUUGCAGCUUUAUCAUUUGUCAAAAGACCAGCCAGUACUGCUAGAAUCAUACUACCUGAGAGAUGUGAAGAAUUUCUUAAUGAUUUUAAUAACAAAAUAAUGGAGAUUCGUUAGCACAUUAACACAGACUUCAGAGAGUUUGAUGUUGACUACUGCCCACCUGCAACAUUAAACAUUAAAGCCUUGAAGGGUCAGGCUCCUGCCUAUAUCUGUGAUCUGCUAACUCCCUAUGAGCCCGAUCGCAGCUUGAGAUCCUCUGGCAGGGCCCUGCUGAUGGUUCCAAAAUCUCGUCUUGUCACUGAAGGUGACCGGGCCCCUCAGCUGUGAAACUCUGAGCCUGAGGAUCUCAGGCAGGCAAACUCCGUGUCCUCUUUUAAAUCUAUCCUUAAAACUCACUUUAUCUUAACUGAUGGUAUUUGCUGAAACUAUCUAAAUUAUUUUAUCCUGUUUUAUAUCUUAUGUUUUGGAUCUUGUUGCUUGUUUUUAUUGUAAAGCAUGUUGUAACUUUGUUUUUGAAAGGUGCUAAAUAAAUAAAGUUAUUAUUA